UUCCAGAUAUAUAAUUGUCUCCUCCAUCUGGGAAGGGACCUUUUGAUUAACUGUGUGUUGUAACAGGGACAACGUGUGCAUCUGUGAGUACAGACAGAGGGACGCGAGGCUUUACCGCUGGUGGGCAGGAUGGCAGGACGUGCCAGGUGGAGUCCAACCAGCUUUCGGAACAUGGAAGACCCUGCCUCCUUCCUGGGAAACCAGAGAUGUUGGUGGCCAGGCCAGCGCCGAAGCGGAAGGAAGACGAGGUAAUGAAGCCAACGCUGCAGAGACUCUCAUGACCAGUGCUGACCCCGGCGGACUGCUUCUCGCAUCUUCUCCUGCGCCUCGGAGUCAAACCACUGGGAAGGUUCAUCUUGUUUCCCCUUGUUCCGGAUGUUAUACUGAAAGCCCCCAGAACUCCAAGUGGACGACGUCAAGAAAGGAUCCCACUGCAACAUUUCUGCGCCUCAUUUUUCAGGUCAGCUCAUAAUCCUCUCAGGUGUUUUGAACGAAGUUAGCACGGCCCAUGUGACUCAUCAGCCCCUGGGGCAAUCACAGGCAGGAAGAGGAGACUGCUUACCGCACACAAUCCCAUCAAGAUGACCC